rnacentral:rRNA from 1 species
GAUGAACGCUGGCGGCGUGCCUAAUACAUGCAAGUCGAGCGAACAGACGCGGAGCUUGCUCUUCUCACGUUAGCGGCGAACGGGUGAGUAACACGUGGAUAACCUACCUAUCAGACUGGGAUAACUUCGGGAAACCGGAGCUAAAACCGGAUAAUAUUUCGAACCGCAUGGUUUAAUGGUGAAAGAAGGUUUUGCUGUCUCUUGUAGAUGGAUCCGCGCUGCCUUAGCUAGUUGGUAAGGUAACGGCUUACCAAGGCGACGAUGCCUAGCCGACCUGAGAGAGUGAUCGGCCACACUGGAACUGAGACACGGUCCAGACUCCUACGGGAGGCAGCAGUAGGGAAUCUUCCGCAAUGGGCGAAAGCCUGACGGAGCAACGCCGCGUGAGUGAAGAAGGUCUUCGGAUCGUAAAACUCUGUUAUUAGGGAAGAACAAGUGUUAGAGUAACUGUGCACGUCUUGACGGUACCUAAUCAGAAAGCCACGGCUAACUACGUG